UACAGAGGGUGCAAGCGUUAAUCGGAAUUACUGGGCGUAAAGCGUGCGUAGACGGUUAUGUAAGUCGGGUGUGAAAGCCCCCGGGCUCAACCUGGGAAUUGCAUUCGAGACUGCAUAGCUAGGGUGCGGAAGAGGGAAGCGGAAUUUCCGGUGUAGCGGUGAAAUGCGUAGAUAUCGGAAGGAACACCAGUGGCGAAAAGCGGCUUCCUGGUCCAGCACCGACGUCAGGCACGAAAGCGUGGGGAGCAAACAGG
rnacentral:rRNA from 1 species